UGUCUGAAGGGGGAGACCUAUUGCUUUACUCUGGCACCCCUGAGCCCCUUAUUCCCGACUCAACACCUGCUGAGCCUGAGGUCGCGGCCUUCAGGGUCGGGGAGUUGGUGGAGGCGCUAUACUGCGGAGGGUCCUGGUACACUGCCUUGAUUGUUGGGA
rnacentral:SRP_RNA from 1 species